UUUAUAUAUGAAGAACAACGGACAUCUCUUCAGUGAAACUUAAACCACCUUGAAGAUACUUUACUUCUCUAAGCAUGGAGACGGUAAAAGUCCUGGCAAUGAUCAUGUUUCUGACUUUCGGAAAACUGUCGUCAUUUUCCGCCGACCCCGUUCAUCUUCUCAACUUAUCAAAAGCGAUCGACUCGUUGGAUCGUUAUAAGAACUUUACGAAGGACAGCCUGGAGACCCCCACUAAAUCUUACAUUGCUGGGAAUAUUACAGAGGCUCCCGAAGACUUUACUCUGGAACAUGUAAAAGAAACUCUAUUGUUAUUCCACUGUUACACACUCAAAGCCACUGAGAAAAACGAAAUGUUUCAUGGCGACUUUACUCGUAUAGCUAAGGAAUGCUGGGAUCUCCAGAAACAUAUAAAUCCACAACACAGAGAACACCACAUCAAACAUGACUGUGCAACAGAAUUCAAGGGCGACUACGAAAGACGGGAAUUUCAAAGAAAUCUACUAUGGUUGUAUGUUCACUGGUUGGAGAAAAUUCGUAAACAAUACUGUGAUACACUGAGGUGUAGUUUUA